rnacentral:rRNA from 1 species
AGAACGAACGCUGGCGGCAUGCCUAACACAUGCAAGUCGAACGAGACCUUCGGGUCUAGUGGCGCACGGGUGCGUAACGCGUGGGAACCUGCCUUUAGGUUCGGAAUAACUCAGAGAAAUUUGAGCUAAUACCGGAUAAUGUCUUCGGACCAAAGAUUUAUCGCCUUUAGAUGGGCCCGCGUAGGAUUAGCUUGUUGGUGGGGUAAUGGCCUACCAAGGCGACGAUCCUUAGCUGGUCUGAGAGGAUGAUCAGCCACACGUGGGACUGAGACACGGCCCAGACU